rnacentral:rRNA from 1 species
UACGAAGGGGGCUAGCGUUGCUCGGAAUCACUGGGCGUAAAGCGCACGUAGGCGGAUUGUUAAGUCAGGGGUGAAAUCCUGGAGCUCAACUCCAGAACUGCCUUUGAUACUGGCGAUCUCGAGUCCGGGAGAGGUGAGUGGAACUGCGAGUGUAGAGGUGAAAUUCGUAGAUAUUCGCAAGAACACCAGUGGCGAAGGCGGCUCACUGGGCCUUACCUGACGCUCAGGCGCGAAAGCUAGGGGAGCGAACUGG